GGCCGGGCGACGCGGGGGAGAAGGGCUGGCUGCCCGCCGCUGCCAGCGCCUCAGAACAGAAAUAGUCAUAUUAUGAAGUGGUAACAGUACCAGCUGCUGUAUGGUUAUGAAGUAGAUGCCAGAAGACAAGAUGUGAUUUCAUCAGAAGUGGAUGCUGUAGUAGUACAAACAAUAUAUAAGUGGUGGCACAUUACAAACAUGGUUAUGAGUCUGUAUCAUUCACUUGUUGUUAAUGAAGAUACUUUUUUCUGAUUUGCUAGAAUUUUAAUAAGUCAUCUUUGAAAAAUCCAGACACUGUUUUGCACUCC
rnacentral:lncRNA from 1 species